rnacentral:sRNA from 1 species
UAUCACUGCCAAUCUAUCUAUCGCUGCUAAUCUAUCGCUGCUAAUCUAUCGCUGCUAAUCUAUCGCUGCCAACCUAUCUAUCGCUGCCAAUUUAUCUACCACUGCCAAUCUAUCUAUUGCUGCUAAUCUAUCGCUGCUAAUCUAUCGCUGCUAAUCUAUUGCUGCUGCCAAUCUAUCUAUCACUGCUAAUCUAUUGCUGCUAAUCUAUCACUGCUAAUCUAUCGCUGCUAAUCUAUCGCUGCUAAUCUAUCGCUGCUAAUCUAUCGCUGCCAACCUAUCUAUCGCUGCCAAUUUAUCUACCACUGCCAAUCUAUCUAUCGCUGCUAAUCUAUCGCUGCCAACCUAUCUACCGCGGCGAAUCUAUCCAUCGCUGCCAAUUUAUCUACCACUGUCAAUCUAUCUAUUGCUGCUAAUCUAUCGCUGCUAAUCUAUCGCUGCUAAUCUAUUGCUGCUGCCAAUCUAUCUAUCACUGCUAAUCUAUUGCUGCUAAUCUAUCACUGCUAAUCUAUCGCUGCUAAUCUAUCGCUGCUAAUCUAUCGCUGCUAAUCUAUCGCUGCCAACCUAUCUACCGCGGCGAAUCUAUCUAUUGCUGCCAACCAACCUACCACUGCCAACCUAUCUAUCGCUGCCAAUCUAUCACUGCCAAUCUAUCGCUGCCAACCUAUCUACUGCAGUGAAUCUAUCUAUCACUAUCAUUACUAGUUCAAAAUAGAACUAGAGCAUAAAUACACUAAACUUCUUUUGAUAGGUAAUGAUUUUUGGUAACACUCAUAGCAUUAUAUCAUCUAUAUAGGGUAAAUCAUGGUUCCAUUUGGUCCCAUUUUAACAAAAUGGGAUCAAAUGGGAUCAGAAUCAGUAAUUUAUAAGAAGAACAUGACCUGAGACUAGAUUUAUAAUAUAAACAGUGUAAAGUGACUAAUUUAAUAAACACUAUAUGGAACCA